UGGGGAACUUGAGUGCAGAAGAGGAGAGUGGAAUUCCACGUGUAGCGGUGAAAUGCGUAGAGAUGUGGAGGAACACCAGUGGCGAAGGCGACUCUCUGGUCUGUAACUGACGCUGAGGCGCGAAAGCGUGGGGAGCGAACAGGAUUAGAUACCCUGGUAGUCCACGCCGUAAACGAUGAGUGCUAAGUGUUAGAGGGUUUCCGCCCUUUAGUGCUGCAGCAAACGCAUUAAGCACUCCGCCUGGGGAGUACGGUCGCAAGACUGAAACUCAAAGGAAUUGACGGGGGCCCGCACAAGCGGUGGAGCAUGUGGUUUAAUUCGAAGCAACGCGAAGAACCUUACCAGGUCUUGACAUCCUCUGACAACCCUAGAGAUAGGGCUUCCCCUUCGGGGGCAGAGUGACAGGUGGUGCAUGGUUGUCGUCAGCUCGUGUCGUGAGAUGUUGGGUUAAGUCCCGCAACGAGCGCAACCCUUGAUCUUAGUUGCCAGCAUUCAGUUGGGCACUCUAAGGUGACUGCCGGUGACAAACCGGAGGAAGGUGGGGAUGACGUCAAAUCAUCAUGCCCCUUAUGACCUGGGCUACACACGUGCUACAAUGGGCAGAACAAAGGGCAGCGAAGCCGCGAGGCUAA
rnacentral:rRNA from 1 species